GGGUAGUCAAUUGAGAGCACUGAGAGUGAUUCUCUCUAAUCUCCAUAGUUUUGUAUUAAUUUAUUGAUAUAUUUGUUGCAUCUGCAGAUUUAACUUUCAGUCUAAAAUUUGCAGCAUUGACGAGCCCCAACAAAAAAUAAGAAAAAAAAAACUAUUAGAGCACUAAAAAAUCUAUUAAUUUUUACAACCUAAGCAUUUCUUUAUAAAUUUUAUUUCUAUGAGGAUAGUGAAUACUGAUCUCGUUUUUCAUAAAUCACAUGCGCAACAGGAAUUAUCCCUUCAGAGAUGGGGAGAUGGAGGAAUCUCGUCCACCUGGAUCUAUCUGAUAAUUUCCUCUGGGGAUAUAUCCCUCCAACUCUUGGUCGUCUAAGCAAAUUGGAAAAUUUGCACUUGUCUUCUAACUCCCUUGUUGGUAAUAUCCCCUCCAUUGUAGGUCAUCUAACCCAUCUAACUACUUUGGCUAUUGCCUCAAACCACAUUGAUGUUUCCAUCCCAUUAGAAAUCGGGAAUUUGAACUUUCUUCAAGUUCUUGACCUGUCCUGAAAUGAAAUUGGAGGUUCAAUUCCUUCAAACACUUGGCCAUUUAAAGAGGUUGAGAAGUUUAGACUUGUCCCAGAACAAACUUGUUGGCCCAAUCCCUUCGUCUGUAGGUCAUUUGACUCAGCUAACUACUUUUUAUAUGCACUCAAACCUAAUCAAUGGUUCCAUCCCAUUAGAAAUCGGGAAUUUGAACUUUCUUCAAGUUCUUGACCUGUCCUGAAAUGAAAUUGGAAAUAUAACAAUCUAACGGGAUCUAUUCCUUCAACACUUGAUCAUUUAAACAGGUUGACAGAUUUAGAAUUGUUCGAAAACAAACUUCUUGGUCCAAUCCCUUCGUCUGUGGGUCAUUUGACUCAACUAACUACUUUGUAUAUGUACUCAAACCUAAUCAAUGGUUCCAUCCCAUUAGAAAUCGGGAAUUUGAACUUUCUUCAAGUUCUUGACCUGUCCGACAACAAACUUGAAGGUCCAAUUCCUUCCACCAUAGCUGGUUUAGUCAACUUGACAUCUCUGUCCCUGGAUUAUAACAAUCUAACUGGAUCUAUU
rnacentral:lncRNA from 1 species